UACGAAGGGGGCUAGCGUUGCUCGGAAUCACUGGGCGUAAAGCGCACGUAGGCGGCUUUUUAAGUCAGGGGUGAAAUCCUGGAGCUCAACUCCAGAACUGCCUUUGAUACUGAGAGCUUGAGUCCGGGAGAGGUGAGUGGAACUGCGAGUGUAGAGGUGAAAUUCGUAGAUAUUCGCAGGAACACCAGUGGCGAAGGCGGCUCACUGGCCCGGUACUGACGCUGAGGUGCGAAAGCGUGGGGAGCAAACAGGG
rnacentral:rRNA from 1 species